CAAGAGGUAGUAAAGUGAAUUACAGGGGGUUUGGAGCCUUCAAUUCCACCUUAAAGCGGUGGCCUUUUGAAA
rnacentral:tRNA from 1 species